rnacentral:tRNA from 1 species
AAUAAGAUGGCUGAGUGUAUAGGCGCUAGAUUGUAAAUCUAUUUACGAGUUAUUACUCUCUUAUUA